CAGAGACGCGGUACCAAGAGGGGAAGACAAUCAAAUGUGUAUGUAAUCUGCACCACAGAUUUUCAGCACGACAGUCUGUAACGGCACUGAUUCUACAUGUGUGUGAUGAGCAGCUUGUAAUAUUUCAACCCGAAAUUUGCUGUAUGCCCUGCACCGUUUAAUUAGCAUUAGCAUUCAUUAGCACUAUGAAUGCACUGUAUAGCAAAUGUUUAGCUAACUCAGCUGAUGCUCAGUCAUACUCAUUGCGCGGCUCGGGUGCCACAUGUGGAUCGUCAGGCUUUAAUUGGCGGCUCGCAUGGGAGCUUAUAUCAAUAUAACACAGCCAAUAGAUUUUUUAUGAGCCACAUAAAUAUACAAUGAACAUUAGACUACAAACUCGCAUUAUAUUUUUCCUUUAGCCAUAAUUUAUGUUGUUUCCAAAAGGGGGUAACUGCCAAAUCUGGCAACGCAGCAGGCUUAUUGCUUACAACAGCGGUUCACUUGACUGCUGUGCGUGCUUGCAGGUUACGAUAGCAACGCUAGCCAUUAGCCGUAUUAGCCGUUAAAAUGGAUCGUUUUCUAAUAAAAAAGAGGACAAAAUCAGACGAACAGACACGCAAAGGAGGAAUAGUGAGGAUAAAGUGAACAUGAAGAUGCCGGAGAGGGAACGAGCAGGCUAACGCAAGGUGUUCCAAGUAAAAUACGAAAGGUGAACGCUAUCGAGAGGAAACAGGGAAACCGGCUGACCCAUGCUCAUCUUGAAUGCCUUACCGUGAUUGCAACAACAAACUACAAAUACAACAUCAAGAAAGUCAAGGACAUGCAUUCCAGCUUCCGUUCAUCCCAGUGUUAAGUGAGGAUCACUGCUCUAGUUCAUCUUUUCCGACCUGGAAGUUUUGAGAAGUCAACCACAGAGAGGGCUACGAGUUGCCAAAGUAGCAGACCAAGAGGCGGGUAAACAAGCUACACUGUUCCAGACUGGACACAGUCUCUGGAGUAAGGUGCUUUAUUUUUGUUUUGCUCAACUUGAGUGAAGUGUCCGAAUAGUUUGUGCCUCCCCGCUCCCAAGCACCGACUCAGGCCUGCAACAGGGGUUUAUUAUUGUUAUUAAUUUGCUGGUGUGCUCGUGUGAGUAGGCCCCAUUGACUUGUCAUUGACUCGGACUUGAACUGAGAUUAUUCUGUUUACAUACAAAAUAAGUUUGUCACGGGGAAAACCAGUGAGCAGAGAGUCGUAUUAGUUUCUUGUAUUUGUUAUUAUUAUUUACCCUAAUUUUCCAAAGUAAACACGUUUAUUGUUCUUA